CCAAUGAGAAGGAGACCAUUCCUUCCUCAGCAUUUGAGAUGCUCAGCACAGUUCCUCUCAGGAAUGGGAUUAUUGUGAUACUCCCACCUUGUGAGCUGGUCAGAGAUGGAAGGAUGAAGAUCCCAGAAAGACAGUUGACUAUCUGCUGGAGAUGAUGGAGGUCUCUCUUACCUGGGUCAGCGCACAGGAUGGCUGCCAGCAGGAGGACGAAGAAAACCUUCAUUUUGGGAUGGCCUCUCUUGUGCUGAAUAUGAGUUCUUUCCUUGUGGGGCACUUUAUAUACUGUGGGAGGCAGCAAUUGUACAUGCCCAGAUUAGCAUGUGAAGGCGCCUGAGCAAGGUUGUAUGUUGGACUCAAGGGAGGGGUUGGCUUAUGGUGGUGAUAUUUGCUUUAGGUACCUCUCCUAUCUGACUGUAACUUUCCUAGCUACCAACAAACAGCUCCUCUCCACUACUAUGCACUUGCCUUCCCUCCCACCCUUGGACAAAAUGUUCAUGAGCGGAAAAAAACCUCAAAUUCUUUAGAACAAGACUGGCCUUAUGCAUCUCCCUGGGGCCAUCGAGGCUGUGGUUACACCCUGUGAACAGGGCUCUCCACCCCCAUUGCUACCCUGAGUGGAGCCAUUGUGUUCAAAUCAAGCACAAAUUGUUGUUUUUUAAUAAAAACCUCCAGCUAUUUA